rnacentral:rRNA from 1 species
GGCUCAGAACGAACGCUGGCGGCAUGCUUAACACAUGCAAGUCGAACGCUUUUUGGGGCUUCGGCUCCAAGAGGAGUGGCGCACGGGUGAGUAGCGCGUGGGAACCUGCCCUGGAGUGGGGGAUAACCGCGGGAAACUGCGGCUAAUACCGCAUACGCCGGAGGUAACUCCGGGAAAGAUUUAUCGCUCUAGGAGGGGCCCGCGUCGGACUAACUGGUUGGUGGGGUAACUGCCUACCAAGGCAAUGAUCCAUAGCUGGUCUGACAGGAUGAUCAGCCACACUGGGACUGACACACGGCCCACACUCCUACCGGAGGCAGCAAUGGG